CAGGAACGUGGCAAACCAGCUGCUCUCUGCCUGCCCGAGGGCUGCAGCAAGCUGUGAACCCAGUCAGCAGCUGCAACCCGCUUCUGCAGCUUCCAGGCUGGAGUUUGAAUCAACAGCUUACUUCACAAAGCCACGAGUCCUUACUGUAGUUUGUAAUAUUGAGCAUGCUUAAAGGAAUCAUAAAAUGAGUACCAGUGGAACAAAAAGCCGUGGAAACCAGCUCAAGGCAUGCUGCAGCGUGUUCAACAGCAUCCGUGGUACGGAGCCCACCGCCAGGCCGCUGACCUAACAGGGCAGCUCGUACAUCCCGAUCAGUUUUCAGGAGUAUUUGGUGGAAAAGGACAAAGGGGGAAAAAAAAAAGCUGCAACCUGAAGGGGUAAUUCUGUUCUGUGGAGUAUUGGGAUUAUUUGAUGUGGAAAAACCGCUGCGAUCUGAAGGUGAAUGAGAUCAUAAAUUAAAAAAACAAACAGGACUUGGUUCCCAUCGCCAGAAAUGUGAAUUUGCAAAACAAACGCUGGGAGAAGAGAAGGAGCAUAAAACCCAGAUUAAGCAGAUAACACUCUGAAGUAGCUCAAAGCACCUCAGGGCAGGAUUCUUGAGAACUUUGAGCAGAACUGGACUGAGAGAUGAGUUUCUCAUCACACUCCGCAGCAGCACCUGGUAUUUGCUAGGGAAAUGGGCAUUCCCUCAGGCAAGCUGCUUUCACCCAAUCCUUUUUAAGCCACGCUUGACAGGGAAGAAAAGUGGGCAUUACUUGCAUUUAACAUCAACUAAACAUUUUUGGUGACCCAACUGCUUUGGAAAGAAAUUGACAGGAAAUGCAUAGACAUGGAGAUCGGGGGAAAAGAAGGAAGCCAGCGCUGUCUAUUCAGUCAGUGAUUUAAUACAAGCAAACGGGAAAUCUGACAAUUUCUCUGAC